rnacentral:misc_RNA from 1 species
GAGAUCGAUGAUGCAGAUCAAGAGCAGCAAUUGCUGCCUCCAAAUGCUGUAGGUGGGUAAGUGGCUUUUGUGAAAGAGGCCCACAAAUGAAGCUAAGCUGCUUUACUAAGAAAGGGUCAAAAAGAUAGGUUGGAACAACAUUGUGAUAUUCUUUGUUGAGUGUUAUGGCUUGGAACUUGGAAGGGAUGUGUAAACUUGCUUCUCACUCUUGGAACGCUGAAAGUUGGCAUCAUCAUUUGCUUGUAUGCAUGAAUGGCUGUUCAUCCGAUCGGCAUAUUUAUUUUGCUGUGAUUUUUUCUCUAUUCCUUGUCCUACUUGUUUGUGUCAUUUGUUGCAACUGAAGCAUCUGGAAUUACAUUGUAGUUUGCUAUGAUUGUUGACGAUGUGAUGCCAGACGUUCAAUAUGAUCAUUUUUUUUACAAGUGGAAAUGAAAUCUUGAAUUGUUGAGCUUGUCAAA